CCUACGGGAGGCAGCAGUGAGGAAUAUUGGUCAAUGGAGGCAACUCUGAACCAGCCAUGCCGCGUGAAGGAUGACGGCCCUAUGGGUUGUAAACUUCUUUUGAAUAGGAAGAAACUUAUCUACGUGUAGAUAACUGACGGUACUAUUAGAAUAAAGAUCGGCUAACUCCGUGCCAGCAGCCGCGGUAAUACGGAGGAUCCAAGCGUUAUCCGGAUUCAUUGGGUUUAAAGGGUCCGUAGGCGGAUCUUUAAGUCAGUGGUGAAAGCCGACAGCUUAACUGUCGAACUGCCAUUGAUACUGGAGAUCUUGAGUACAAAUGAAGUAGGCGGAAUGAGUCAUGUAGCGGUGAAAUGCAUAGAUAUGACUCAGAACACCGAUUGCGAAGGCAGCUUACUAACAUGUAACUGACGCUGAGGGACGAAAGCGUGGGGAGCGAACAGGAUUAGAUACCCUGGUAGUCCACGCCGUAAACGAUCAUCACUCGCUGUUGGCGAUAUACUGUCAGCGGCCAAGCGAAAGUAUUAAGUGAUGCACCUGGGGAGUACGCCGGCAACGGUGAAACUCAAAGGAAUUGACGGA
rnacentral:rRNA from 1 species